AGAAUCAACGCUGGCGGCGUGCCUAACACGUGCAAGUCGAACGAGAAAGUGGAGCAAUCCAUGAGUAAAGUGGCGCACGGGUGAGUAACACGUGACUAACCUACCCUUGAGUGGGGGAUAACCUAGAGAAAUCUGGGCUAAUACCGCAUAAUACCUUCGGGUCAAAGGAGCAAUUCGCUUAAGGAGGGGGUCGCGGCCGAUUAGUUAGUUGGCGGGGUAAUGGCCCACCAAGACUAUGAUCGGUA
rnacentral:rRNA from 1 species